UGGGGGAUAUUGCACAAUGGGCGAAAGCCUGAUGCAGCGACGCCGCGUGGGGGAUGAAGGCCUUCGGGUUGUAAACUUCUUUUGCUCUGAACAAGGCAUGUUAAUGGGUGUGUUGAGUGUAGGGGUUGAUUAGCGCCGGCUAACUACGUGCCAGCAGCCGCGGUAAUACGUAGGGCGCGAGCGUUGUCCGGAAUUAUUGGGCGUAAAGGGCUUGUAGGUGGCUGGUUGCGUCUGUCGUGAAAGCUCAUGGCUUAACUGUGGGUUUGCGGUGGGUACGGGCUGGCUUGAGUGCAGUAGGGGAGGCUGGAAUUCCUGGUGUAGCGGUGGAAUGCGCAGAUAUCAGGAGGAAUACCGGUGGCGAAGGCGGGUCUCUGGGCUGUUACUGACACUGAGGAGCGAAAGCAUGGGGAGCGAACAGG
rnacentral:rRNA from 1 species